UACGAAGGGAGCUAGCGUUGUUCGGAAUCACUGGGCGUAAAGCGCACGUAGGCGGACGUGUCAGUCAGGGGUGAAAUCCCGGAGCUCAACUUCGGAACUGCCUUUGAUACAGCACGUCUUGAGUCCGGAAGAGGUGGGUGGAAUUCCUAGUGUAGAGGUGAAAUUCGUAGAUAUUAGGAAGAACACCGGUGGCGAAGGCGGCCCACUGGUCCGGUACUGACGGCUGAGGUGCGAAAGCGUGGGGAGCAAACAGG
rnacentral:rRNA from 1 species